GUAGGGAAUCUUCCACAAUGGACGAAAGUCUGAUGGAGCAACGCCGCGUGAGUGAAGAAGGUCUUCGGAUCGUAAAACUCUGUUGUUAGAGAAGAACGUGCAUGAUAGUAACUGAUCAUGUAAUGACGGUAUCUAACCAGAAAGCCACGGCUAACUACGUGCCAGCAGCCGCGGUAAUACGUAGGUGGCAAGCGUUGUCCGGAUUUAUUGGGCGUAAAGGGAACGCAGGCGGUUUUUUAAGUCUGAUGUGAAAGCCUUCGGCUUAACCGAAGAAUAGCAUUGGAAACUGGAAGACUUGAGUGCAGAAGAGGAGAGUGGAAUUCCAUGUGUAGCGGUGAAAUGCGUAGAUAUAUGGAGGAACACCAGUGGCGAAGGCGGCCACCUGGACCGGUAUUGACGCUGAGGUGCGAAAGCGUGGGGAGCAAACAGGAUUAGAAACCCGGGUAGUCC
rnacentral:rRNA from 1 species